UACGUAGGGUGCAAGCGUUGUCCGGAAUUAUUGGGCGUAAAGGGCUCGUAGGCGGUCCAUCGCGUCGGGAGUGAAAAGCUGGGGCUUAACCCCAGUCCUGCUUCCGAUACGGGUGGACUAGAGGUAGGUAGGGGAGAUCGGAAUUCCUGGUGUAGCGGUGAAAUGCAUUGAGAUCGGAAAGAACACCAACGGCGAAAGCACUCUGCUGGGCCGACACUGACACUGAGAGACGAAAGCUAGGGGAGCAAAUGGG
rnacentral:rRNA from 1 species